UCCUACGGGGGGCAGCAGUGAGGAAUUUUGGACAAUGGGCGCAAGCCUGAUCCAGCCAUGCCGCGUGAGUGAAGAAGGCCUUCGGGUUGUAAAGCUCUUUCGGCCGGGAAGAAAUCGCAUGGGUUAAUACCCUGUGCGGAUGACGGUACCGGCAUAAGAAGCACCGGCUAACUACGUGCCAGCAGCCGCGGUAAUACGUAGGGUGCGAGCGUUAAUCGGAAUUACUGGGCGUAAAGCGUGCGCAGGCGGUUUGUUAAGAUAGGCGUGAAAUCCCCGGGCUCAACCUGGGAACUGCGCUUAUGACUGGCAAGCUAGAGUACGGCAGAGGGGGGUGGAAUUCCACGUGUAGCAGUGAAAUGCGUAGAGAUGUGGAGGAACACCAAUGGCGAAGGCAGCCCCCUGGGUCGAUACUGACGCUCAUGCACGAAAGCGUGGGUAGCAAACAGGAUUAGAUACCCGGGUAGUCC
rnacentral:rRNA from 1 species